UACGUAGGUGGCGAGCGUUGUCCGGAUUUACUGGGCGUAAAGAGCGCGCAGGCGGCUGGUCAAGUCCGAUGUGAAAGCUCCCGGCUUAACUGGGAAAUUGCAUCGGAAACUGAUCGGCUGGAAGGUGGGAGAGGGUAGCGGAAUUCCCGGUGUAGUGGUGAAAUGCGUAGAUAUAUGGAAGAACACCAAUAACGGCGAAGGCAGUUAACUAUUCUGUUACUGACAUUGAGGCACGAAAGCGUGGGGAGCAAAACGG
rnacentral:rRNA from 1 species